UACGUAGGGGCGCGAGCGUUGUCCGGAAUUAUUGGGCGUAAAGAGCUCGUAGGCGGCCUGUUGCGUCCGCUGUGAAAUCCCAGGGCUCAACCCUGGGCGUGCAGUGGAUACGGGCAGGCUAGAGGUAGGUAGGGGAGAAUGGAAUUCCCGGUGUAGCGGUGAAAUGCGCAGAUAUCGGGAGGAACACCGGUGGCGAAGGCGAAUCCCCUGGACCUGUACUGACGCUCUGCACGAAAGGCGUGGGGAGCAAACAGG
rnacentral:rRNA from 1 species